rnacentral:rRNA from 1 species
GACGAACGCUGGCGGCGUGCUUAACACAUGCAAGUCGAACGGAAAGGCCCUGCUUUUGUGGGGUGCUCGAGUGGCGAACGGGUGAGUAACACGUGAGUAACCUGCCCUUGACUUUGGUAUAACUUCAGGAAACUGGGGCUAAUACCGGAUAGGAUCUCCUGCUGCAUGGUGGGGGUUGGAAAGUUUCGGCUGUUGGGGAUGGACUCGCGGCUUAUCAGCUUGUUGGUGGGGUAGUGGCUUACCAAGGCUUUGACGGGUAGCCGGCCUGAGAGGGUGACCGGCCACAAGGGGACUGAGAGACGGACCAGACGCCUACGGGAGGCAGCAGUGGGGAAUAUGGCACAAUGGGCGGAAGCCUGAUGCAGAAACGCCGCGUGCGGGAUGACGGCCUUCGGGUUAUAAACAGCUGUCGCCUGUGACGAAGCGUGAGUGACGGUAAUGGGUAAAGAAGCACCGGCUAACUACGUG